CCCCGCAGUUCCGCUCCGCCGCCGCCGCCCCCCCCCCACUUCCGUCCCCAUCUUCGGCCACCUCCUGCCCUACCUGCAGCUACAGGCCCCCCAUCUGUACCCGUACCCCAUGGGCGCUUCGGUGCCGCAGGGGAAGUUCCGACCCGCCAAAGGUUCUCUGCCCCCCCGCUCGGAGGCGCCCCCCCUUCUUCCGGCCGCCCCCCCCCGCCGCCCCAUUGGUGGCUGCCCCCUAUUCGUCCUAUGUGCCCUAUGGACCCCCCCUGGUGCCCCCCGUGGGGCAUUACCCCCCCCAGCCGGUGUUCGCCCCGAUGCUGCCGAGCGGGCCGCGGUUGCUGCCGUCGGGCGGCCCCUCCCCCAUCGCUUCGUCCUCCGCCCCCCCUUACGCCGGCGACGGCCCCGCGGCCCCCGCCCUCUACGCCCCACUGCAGCCCUUCCCGCCCCACGCCGCCGCCGCCGCCGCCGCCCCAUUGGCUCCCGCCGCCCCCCCCAGCGGCAGCCAGGCUCCGCCCCACGGCGCCCCAAGCCCCGCCCAGCCCCCCGCGGGUUUCCACGUGGCCACGCCCCCAGGGGGAGGGGCCCAAUCACCUCCGGGCUCUUUGGCUCCACCCACCGGAGCUCCGCCCCCUCCGGCCCCGCCCCCUCCGGCCGCGGCUCCGCCCACCGCCAUAUAUGGACUGCAGCAGCCCCUCCCCCACGGCUAUGGGGGCGUCGCCCAUGUGGGGCAGCCCCACGUCCCCCCCCCCCACGGAGCCGCCCCCCCCCCCCCGUGAUGCUGCUGCCUCCUCCGGGUCCCCCCC
rnacentral:lncRNA from 1 species